AGCGAACGCUGGCGGCAGGCCUAACACAUGCAAGUCGAACGAACUCUUCGGAGUUAGUGGCGGACGGGUGAGUAACACGUGGGAACGUGCCUUUUGGUUCGGAAUAACUCAGGGAAACUUGUGCUAAUACCGAAUGUGCCCUUCGGGGGAAAGAUUUAUCGCCAUUAGAGCGGCCCGCGUCUGAUUAGCUAGUUGGUGAGGUAACGGCUCACCAAGGCGACGAUCAGUAGCUGGUCUGAGAGGAUGACCAGCCACACUGGGACUGAGACACGGCCCAGACUCCUACGGGAGGCAGCAGUGGGGAAUCUUGCGCAAUGGGCGAAAGCCUGACGCAGCCAUGCCGCGUGAAUGAUGAAGGUCUUAGGAUUGUAAAAUUCUUUCACCGGGGACGAUAAUGACGGUACCCAGAAGAAGCCCCGGCUAACUUCGUG
rnacentral:rRNA from 1 species